GAUUUUGAGUGUCCAGAACCCAGUUCCCUGUCCCUCCUUGACCUUGACUGGUCUGAGUGGAGGUAGAGGGUAUAAAAAUAAAAAUGGAUGACUUAAUGAGAGUAUAAAUUCAUUACACAGGGAGUUGGGACCCAAUACUAACAUAUUUUUAGGUGGAUAAAAUUGCUUUGAAACUUUUACAAAUUGAGAUUUGGAGAUGAAUACUGGAAUGGUCCAUGCAUACAUAGCCAACAGGUAAAAAGCAAAACUAUAGUGAAACAAUUUGUAUCUAAAAGAAUCUGAUCAUGAUUAUGAAGAGCUUAGCAUGUUCAUAUUUGCCAGUAACAAAAUGAUGGACAACAAUGCUACUGUAUAAGGCCAAUGAGCCGCUGGAAUAGGUGCUAACAGAGGCUGUAAAGUUUUGUAAAACAGUGGUUUUGUUGUGUUUUUAAAUCAGAUGAGAUGACAUCAUCACUACAGUGACAGUCAAGAGCAGGCACUGCUGCUUAGUUUAAAAUGACUCGCUGAUCUCCCCCAUGUAUCCAGUGCAAGCAUGCCCCACACUUGUGGAGCAGACUACAUUACAAUUCAGUGGAGAAGGAGAACAGAGUGGAGGAAAUUGUUAAGAAGUAAAUGACUCAUAUACUGGGCUAAUUUUGUUCCUUAUUUUAGUAGAAUCUUAGCCAGGAAAAAACUACAAGAGCAAUCGCAUAUGGCACACAUGAGCCAUACUGUCUUGUAUGUCUAAAGUAUAAGCUAUAAAUACAAGUUCUAGUUUAAAAAUCAAAAAGCCCACCGUGUACAUAGGUGCUUUUAUAGACUCUUAUCAGACCCAAGUACAUUAUAAAAACAAGAAAACAAAUUAGUAAGUACUCUGUAAGGCCACAGUAAUUUUAGCAUUCUUAAAGUACUUAAAUUAACUACACUUCGGAAAUAGUAAAAACAAAUUCUUCUUCCAAGAAGAGACGCUCAGGUAACUAAGCUGCUCCCUCCUCGUCAGUCGCUGCUGAAACACUGUGGAAACAGUUUCCGUGAGCAGCAGACCUGAGGAGUGUUUGCUGGGCUGGGUGGUUUGACUCCAAUAUAAGGAAAAGGAUGUAAAAAUACUGCUAUGCAUAUAAGAAGGAAAGCAUGCACUAAAUUCAACACUUACCAAGUAACUUCCACUCAAUAUCUCAGUCUCCCUUUACACUUCCUAAAGAUCAGGAAAUUUCCUUCAGAGGUGGGUCUCAAUUAAAUCUGUUCCCUUCGUCAGAUAUUGUUGAACAGAUUUUCUCCAGAGUUCAUAGUCAAAUUUGUACUUGACAUAAGAAUAAGUGAAAUGUAGCAGUUUUUACAAUAAAAACAUCUGUUCUUUUAGCAUUCAUUAACUCUGUCUUGACAACAGAUAAAGAAUUAAUUGGCUACUGCAAAUAAUUAAUAUAAUAUUGACCAGCUAUGAAAUGAUGCCCUCAUUCAGAGAAGUGGUUUGUAGUGUCUGUUCCAGCCUACUUACGGGGCUAUGUGAGUGGUCCAUCAUUAAGCUCAGAGCAAAAACAACUAUUUUUGUUUGAACAUGAAUUUAUGAGACUAUGAUUGAUUUUUUAAUUCCUCCUGAACAGGUAACUGAUAGUCAUUUUAUUUUCUAUAGUUUAUCUAAGAAGGCAUCUUUGAAUUGAGAGGAGGAGUGAGCACAGUUGAGAGUUCUACCCUAAUCCUUUCCACCCGCUUCUGGUUGGAGAGACACUUAGACGUUCUUGAGACCAAGUUAUCUGGCAAAUAUAAUUAAUGUCUUCAUUGGCAAUCUGUGUGUGGUAUGAACAGCACACACAUACAUAUAUAAAUGUAUCUACAUUUUAAGUGUGUGCCUCCAUGUUUCUCACUCAAAGGAAGUUUUGGUUUAAACAAAAUGCACAUCCAUAUGUAUCUAUGUAUGACUGUAUAUAUGAAUUUAUGUAUGUAUGUAUAUAAAACUUUAAAUAAACUUUUAAAAUUACAAGUCAUUCAACAAAAUCACAUUAUUUGAUCUUUUCAAAAUUUAUGUAGGGGAUAUAUUUUUAUAAUUUUACAAAUAAGAAAAAUGCCAGAAGUCAAACUAGAAAUUUUCCUAAGAAACUGAAAUGAUAGACUUCACAGGUUCCUGGUGGGUGAGAAGCAAUAACAAAUAUGAACAUGGUACAAGGCAAGUGGCUCUGAAGAAAAACAAGGAUUCACAAAUGAAUGAUUUCUGCUAUUUUUGACAAACAUCUCACAAAUGUUUUGGAUAAUUUCAAAUUUAUAAUGUAUAGUUGACUAUUUUUAAGAUUAAUUGAAGCUUACUACAGCACAAGCUGAAAGGGCAAGCACAUCAAAGCACUCUGAUUGUUACAUAAUUAAGGCAAGCAUACUGACGCACUCUGAUUAUUACAUAAUUAAGUCAAAAACCAGAUUAAAAAAGACAGAGGCAGAAUCGUAAGAAUUGAUCUAUUGAUCGUGUGUUGGGAAAGAACCCUCACAUAGAGCAGAUACAGGUGGCUUCGUAAAGGUAAGAUGAAUGGCAUACUCUAUGAAAUCCAUCUUGGUGGAACUCAAAGGCAUAUAAAUGGCUCAGAGUAGCCAACAUUUCCCUUUCCUUAAUACUCUUGAUACUUUGAAACAAGCAUAUAUUCCACUCUCUACAAUUUUAUAAAAGUAACUAAAAUAAAUAUAAUUUUAGGGAUCCUGAAAAGAAAAACAAAACAAAAAACAAAAAGAACAAAACAAAACAAACCCAAAAAACAAAAACCAUAAAAUGUUUAAAUAGUCUCCUUCUAUAAAGACUCACCAACAUACCAGUACUACAAUCCAAAUACACGGGUUUGAUCAAGUUAGAAUUAGGGUUUUAAUACAAGGACCUAAAAUGGACAUUUUAGCUGACUACUCCGCUAUCCUCAUGUUUUUCAGAUUUUAAAAUAGAGGGGCUUAAAAACGGACUCCAGUGGUAAAGCACACUCCUCCAGAGGACCCAAGUUUGACGCCCAGCACCCACAGGGUGGCACACAACAUCUGUGACUCAGUUCCAGGGGCUCUCAUACCCUCUUCUGGCCUCCAUAGGCACGUGCAGUACCUUGAGUGCAAAACAUCCUUACACAUAAAAUAAAAUUUUAAAUUUUGAGUUAUUUUGUUAUAUUGAACAUACUUUGAGAGCAAAUUUAACAAAUAAAAGCCGCCACCAUUAAAAUCCUGCAUUUCUACGAUUUGUUUUGACACUAGUGACUAAUAAAUAAUUUUAUACCUCCUAGAUCCUAUUACAUAAAACAUUUUAUACCUCCUAGAUCCUAUUAUACAAAACAUUUAGUAGCAAUUUUUUUCUUUGUGUAAGAUCCAAUAUAUAAUUUCAGAAAAAAGAGAGUAUAAUAAA
rnacentral:sRNA from 1 species